rnacentral:rRNA from 1 species
ACGAACGCUGGCGGCGUGCCUAACACAUGCAAGUCGAACGAGAUACCUUCGGGUGUCUAGUGGCGGACGGGUGAGUAACGCGUGAACAAUCUGCCCUAUACAGAGGAAUAGCCUCGGGAAACCGGGAUUAAAACCGCAUAACACUUUAGCAUCGCAUGAUGCAGAAGUCAAAUUGAUUUAGAGGUAUAGGAUGAGUUCGCGUCUGAUUAGCUAGUUGGUAAGGUAAUGGCUUACCAAGGCGACGAUCAGUAGCCGGCCUGAGAGGGUGAACGGCCACACUGGAACUGAGACACGGUCCAGACUCCUACGGGAGGCAGCAGUGGGGAAUAUUGCACAAUGGGGGAAACCCUGAUGCAGCGACGCCGCGUGAGGGAAGAAGGUUUUCGGAUUGUAAACCUCUGUCCUUGGUGACGAUAAUGACGGUAGCCAAGGAGGAAGCCACGGCUAACUACGUGCCAGCAGCCGCGGUAAUACGUAGGUGGCAAGCGUUGUCCGGAAUUACUGGGUGUAAAGGGAGCGUAGGCGGGAAUGCAAGUUGAAUGUGAAAUCUAUGGGCUCAACCCAUAGCUGCGUUCAAAACUGUGUUUCUUGAGUGAAGUAGAGGUAGGCGGAAUUCCUAGUGUAGCGGUGAAAUGCGUAAAUAUUAGGAGGAACACCAGUGGCGAAGGCGGCCUACUGGGCUUUAACUGACGCUGAUGCUCGAAAGCGUGGGUAGCAAACAGGAUUAGAUACCCUGGUAGUCCACGCCGUAAAUGAUGAUUACUANGCGUGGGGGGACUGACCCCUUCCGUGCCGCAGUUAACACAAUAAGUAAUCCACCUGGGGAGUACG